GGCCAGUUAGCUCAGUUGGUAAGAACGUCGUGCCAAUAACGCUAAUGUCAUGAGUCGACCCCAUACUGCCCU